GAUGAACGCUAGCGGCAGGCCUAACACAUGCAAGUCGAGGGGCAGCGGGGAGUAGCAAUACUUUGCCGGCGACCGGCGCACGGGUGCGUAACGCGUAUGUGACCUACCUAUAACAGGGGGAUAACCCAGAGAAAUUUGGACUAAUACCCCAUAUUAUUAUUGAGCUGCAUGGUUUGAUAAUGAAAGACGCGAGUUGGUUAUAGAUGGGCAUGCGUGACAUUAGCUAGAUGGCGGGGUAACGGCCCACCAUGGCGACGAUGUCUAGGGGUUCUGAGAGGAAGGUCCCCCACACUGGAACUGAGACACGGUCCAGACUCCUACGGGAGGCAGCAGUGGGGAAUAUUAGGCAAUGGGGGAAACCCUGACCUAGCAACGCCGCGUGAAGGAAGAAGGCUUUCGGGUUGUAAACUUCUUUUACCAGGGACGAAGAACGUGACGGUACCUGGAGAAAAAGCCACGGCUAACUACGUG
rnacentral:rRNA from 1 species